GUUGUAUAUAUGCUAAUUUGUACAAGUUUGUAGCUUGAUUCAGUGAAAACUAUAAUAAUUACAACGUUUGCAACAAAAAACGGGAGACCAAGGACGAAGAAGUAGCAUGAUUUUAGUUUUCCAACGCGAUUUAAAAGUCAGAGAGUUUCCUAUCGGAGCUCCAGCACCUCCGCGUCGGAACAUUCUAGUAGAAGAUGAGCAACGCUGAGCAUCGUCGUCUACUCCAGAUCUACUCCAGAUUUUUGCCAACGUCUCUCUUUUCUAACGCCGCCAAGAUCUCAUCCAGUUGCGGCGGAUUGAAGCACCGAUGAUCUCCUCCACGACGAGCACCUCCAAUUCAUCUAACUCCUCAGAUCUGCCUUCCUUGAAGACGAGUUCUCGUCAACGCCGUGCGCGAUGGCGGUGGCGAAGCAGCAGUUGGAGUUCAGAUCCAUCCUCUUCUCUACGUCAAGGAGGAUGAGGAGGACUCGAUUAAUUACUGCGUAGAAAUAUUAGCGCUUCUCCACCACCACAGAGCUGCCUCUAGACAUCACUUCAGAGACGAAGAUGUCGAAGGACUUUGAUGUUGAAUUUUUUGUUGUGGUUUGUAUUUUUUUUUUUAAAUCUAUUUUUAUUUCGAGCUGAGAUCUAAGGUUUGAAGGACAUGGCUCAGAUCUAAAUAGAUAGUUUGGACAGAAUUUUUUUUGGGUAAAUUGAACAUAUAGAAGAAUUUCAAGAAAAAA